AGGUUGCAUUUACAAUUCUGAGCCAAGGCUUUGCUUGAUGGUAUCAUUGACUGUUCCCCAGGAAACUGAUGUGAGUGUUACUUGGAAACCCCACCUGUGCUGUGCUCGGAUCUCGCAUUCUUGCCCUCCUAAGCCCAGGCCCCUCCAACGGUAGCACAAGCAGGAAAAGAAUAAUUGCCACUGUUCCUGGAGCCAGCUUAUUGAUGAGGUAGACAUGAAGCCUACUGGCUGUCCUGCUGGCUGUCCAUUGGUGAGUAGUUUCCUGGGUCUGUCACUUCUCUUUUUCUCUGGAAACUGUUAUGGCUUUGUGUGCCCAAGAAAAAUAAUGAGAUCCAUCUAUCCUGGAAAAAAAUAAACAAUAAAGUCUAUACCUUCCAAUUAAUUUGUUUUCACCUAUGUUUACCCAUGUGUAUUCAGUUAACUAUUCAUCAAGUUAGAUGCAUGUAAAGAAGAGCAUUUUUCAAAAGGUUGAAUCCAUUAACCCUUUUACCAACAGAAUAUAUAGGCAUCCAUCUGAGGUAAAUCAAGGACUUGUAAAGAUCAGUCCUUUCGGAGAGCUCGUAAACACUCCCUCCGUCUCUCUCUCACCAGCCUGAUGUUGAUAAAUCUCCAGACUUCCUUUCAACCAAGCAGGUUGUCCUCACUCUCCACUCCAUACUGUGUGUCUGCCUUUCAUUCAGUUUGGUUUUCAUAUGGCUCAACAUUUUUAGAAAUUAGUAGAGAAAGAGCAAUGUAAGUCAACAGCUUCAACCUGAUGUAGAAUUUGUUAACAAGAUUGAGUGGGAAAUGGUAAUGCAUAUCCAUAAUCAAAUGCCGUUUUUCUCUUUUCCUUUGAAAAAUAUAUGUUUUGCCAAAUCAAAAACACUUAAAAGAAAUCACUUUGGUAGUAUGUGUUGCUAGGCUUUUGCUGACAUUUCUAAGCUAUGUGAGCUUUAUUAUUGCUCUUUGCUGACAAGAAACUUCAAUACCGGAAGAGGUCCUGAAAUUAAACACCCCUCUCUUUUUUCUAAUCCAUCUGUACUAUCAAACUAGACAGGCCCUGUUAAGUAACCACUUGUCAGAGCUUUAAAACCGUGAAUGAUUAUGGCAAAGCAUACUGAAAGCUCUCAAUUUAAAAAACAACCUAUGUUUUGAGACUUCAUUUGUAAAGAGCAUUGUUUGGAAUACAGGAACUAAAGUGGUACAAUUUCUAGUCCACUGUACUGGGCCUCUAGAACAUCAUAGAUUUAAGAAAGUGAAGAGACCUAUCCAGUUCUUAACUUGACACCAUUCACUGCACAAACAAGGAAAGUAAGAAAAUUAAGUAUUUGCUCACAAGAAAUGGCAAAGAAAGCAGCUGGUUUAGCAUUGAUGGUUAAAAUAACACCAUGAAGUUAGUAAUAGGUACUAGAAAGUGGGUAUGUAAAGGGAAAAUGGGGUUUAAUUUGAGGAAUAAUAUAUUUAAGAAUUUUAAAGAAAAUUUUAUGACAUUUUAAGUGACUGUAAGUUUGAUAGCACUGAUUCUUUCAUGUCAUUUAAUUUUUAUCAUUAGUUUUUUUAUUUAGUUUUGCUCCUAUGCACGUAACUGAAUUAUAAAUGUAAGUUUUGUAAAGAAUAAGGAAAGCAGGGCUUUUAAAAAGCCAUGAGAGAAUAAAGGGGAAAGGAAGGGAAAAUUAAAUUAUGCAAAAGUUAGAAAAAAUGACGUGAAAGAGGAAUGUCAAACUGGAGGCUGAGGACCAAAGUAUCAUUUGAGAUAAGAUCCUUUAGCUGUGAGGUUAAGAAUGUGGGCUCAAUACAGACAAGUAUGUCCAAGAAAACAAGAGAAAUUAUGGUAGCCACUGUUGAUUUCCUGUUGUCUUGUUUUGAAAUCCUGUGUUGCUUACAUUGUUUUAUUCUGAUCUGCUUUGCUGUUUUGUUUUAUUCUCUUUAAAAUAAUGAUAAUAGUAAUAAUAAUAAAAAAAAUAUGGACUCAAAAACCAGGUUUUGCCCUUUAUUACCCUGA